UACGGGGGGGGCAAGCGUUGUUCGGAAUUACUGGGCGUAAAGGGCUCGUAGGCGGCCAACUAAGUCAGACGUGAAAUCCCUCGGCUUAACCGGGGAACUGCGUCUGAUACUGGAUGGCUUGAGUUUGGGAGAGGGAUGCGGAAUUCCAGGUGUAGCGGUGAAAUGCGUAGAUAUCAGGAGGAACACCGAUGGCGAAGGCAGCUCGCUGGGACGGUACUGACGCUGAGGCGCGAAAGCGUGGGGAGCGAACAGG
rnacentral:rRNA from 1 species